GGUCGAAAGACAUCAGCUGGUGAAGGACAUGGAACAGAUUAUGAAGGAGAUCUCCAAAGGCAAAGGCGUUUACGUCCAAAAUCGCAGCGCUCGGGAAUUUAACAUAAAUACUCAGCUUCGUCCUGCAGAGGGAACCAAGGCAACUCGUAUGUUAAAGGAAUGCUUUGCUACAUACACUAUAGCUGCUGGAAUUCCGUCUUACUCACCAUUAAAACAUCGUUUUGAUGAAGCGAUCAGCAGAAUAUUUGAGAGUGGAUUGGUGCGCUACUGGAAGCAGGAAUCGUAUGUUAAAUUCAGAAAGAACAAUAAACAUGACGAUAGAAUGGAUGAGAAGACCAGAAACGAGGCUGAUGGUGUUAAGACAACCAUGGUUCCCCUUAGCCUGGACCACCUACAGACUGCCUUCUAUGUGCUCUUCUCCAAUCUGAUUUUCUCUUCCGUUGUAUUCUUGAUAGAAAACAUCCAACAGUGUUUGUAAUUAAUGCUUGCCAUGAUAAUCUGAACCUAUACACAUGCUAAGGUUCCGGUUAAGUCCAUUUAACAG